CCUACGGGGGGCAGCAGUGGGGAAUAUUGCACAAUGGGGGAAACCCUGAUGCAGCGACGCCGCGUGAGUGAAGAAGUAUUUCGGUAUGUAAAGCUCUAUCAGCAGGGAAGAAAAUGACGGUACCUGAUUAAGAAGCCCCGGCUAACUCCGUGCCAGCAGCCGCGGUAAUACGGAGGAUGCGAGCGUUAUCCGGAUUUAUUGGGUUUAAAGGGUGCGUAGGCGGAAGGUUAAGUCAGUGGUCAAAUGUCGGUGCUCAACACCGGCCUGCCGUUGAAACUGGUCUUCUUGAGUGAGCGAGAAGUAUGCGGAAUGCGUGGUGUAGCGGUGAAAUGCAUAGAUAUCACGCAGAACUCCGAUUGCGAAGGCAGCAUACCGGCGCUCAACUGACGCUGAGGCACGAAAGCGUGGGGAUCGAACAGGAUUAGAUACCCUUGUAGUC
rnacentral:rRNA from 1 species